rnacentral:lncRNA from 1 species
AUAUAUCUUCAUUAUACUUUCAAUAUCCUAUGUGAUGUUAUUGAAGAGGGGACUUUUGGAAGGUAAUUAGGUUUUCAUGUGGUCCUGAGAAUAGGGCCCUCAUGCUGUGAUUAGUUCCCUUAUAAAAAGAAACGACAGAGCUUUUUCUCUCUCCUCUAACUCUGUGAGGACAUAAAGAGAAGAGAGUCAAUUGCAAUCCAGGUAGAAGGCUCUCACUAGAAACCAAAUCACACAGCAUUGAAAUAGACUUUCUAGCCUCAAGAUCUGUGAGAAAUAAAUGUCUAUUGUUUUAGCCCCCAGGUUAUGAGAUUUUGUUGUUGUUUUUGUUAUAGCAGCCAGAGCAGACUAAGACAACCUACCGCUAAUGUUGAAGAAACCCCACAUUAUGACAGGUACACUUUGGAGAGAUUCUAGGUUCUGUUCCAGACCAUUACAGUAAAGCAACUAUCACAAUAAAUCAAUUCACAGUUUUCUUGGUUUCCCAGUACAUAUAAAAGUUAUAUUUAUACUAUACUGUAGUCUAUUGUAUGCAAUUGUAUAAUGUCCAAAAACAGUGUAUGCAGCUUAACUUUUAAAGGUCUUUAUUAUUUAAUAAUGCUAAAAGUCAUCUGAGCUCUCAGCAAGUCACCUUUUUUCUGGUGAAGGUUUUUGCUUCAAUGAUGGAUGCUGACUGAUCAGGGUGGUGGUUGCUGAAGGCUGGGGUGGCUGUGGCAAUUUCUAAAAAUAAGACAGCAAUGAAGUUUGCUGCAUUGAUUGACUCUUCCUUUCAUAAAAGAUUUUUCUGUAAAAUGUAAUGCUGUUUGAUAACAUUUGACUCAGAACAGAACUGAUUUCAAAGUUAGAUUCUAUACUCUCAAACCCGCCUGCUGCUUUAUCAACUAAGUUUACUCAAUACUCUAAAUUCUUUGUUGUCAUUUCAACAACAUUCACAACAUCUUCACCAGGAGGAGAUCCCAUCUCAAGAAAUCACUUUGUUUGCUCAUUCAAGGAAAAAACUCCUUUAGUGUAAAAUGACAUUGCAGCAAUUCACAAACAUCUUCAGGCUUUUAUUCUAAUUCUAGUUCUCUUGCUAUUUCUGCCACAUCUGCCUUUACUUUCUCCACUGAAGCCUUGAAUCUUCAAAGUCUUUCAUGAGAGUUGGAAUAAACCUCUUCCAAAUUCCUGUUAAUGUCGAUAUUUUGAUCUCCUCCCAUAAAUCAUGAAUGUUCUUAGUGGCAUCUAAAAUGAUGAAUACUUUCCAGAGGGUUUUCAACUUACUUUGCCUAGAUCCAUGAGAAUAAU